UCUGGACACCUGUAUAAACCAGACAACUAGGUCCCACUGUAUACAUUUCUAUGUAACCCUGUAUAAUCUGGACACCUGUAUAAACCAGACAACUAGGUCCCACUGUAUACAUUUCUAUGUAACCCUGUAUAAUC